GAGACGUGAAACUGGAUGUCUCUCGCGGUCAUAACGUUGAUCGGCUAUCUAUGACUAGAGACACAUUCAGCUUGGCGACUCG
rnacentral:pre_miRNA from 1 species